UACGAAGGGUGCAAGCGUUAAUCGGAAUUACUGGGCGUAAAGGGUGCGUAGGCGGUUCGUUAAGUCUGUCGUGAAAUCCCCGGGCUCAACCUGGGAAUGGCGAUGGAUACUGGCGAGCUAGAGUGUGUCAGAGGAUGGUGGAAUUCCCGGUGUAGCGGUGAAAUGCGUAGAGAUCGGGAGGAACAUCAGUGGCGAAGGCGGCCAUCUGGGACAACACUGACGCUGAAGCACGAAAGCGUGAGGAGCAAACAGG
rnacentral:rRNA from 1 species